GACGGAGGAUGCAAGUGUUAUCCGGAAUUACUGGGCGUAAAGCGCGCGCAGGCGGUUCUUCAAGUCAGAGGUGAAGGCCCAGAGCUCAACUCUGGAAUGGCCUUUGAGACUAGAGAACUAGGGUACGGGAGAGGUGAGUGGAAUUCCGAGUGUAGAGGUGAAAUUCGUAGAUAUUCGGAAGAACACCAGUGGCGAAGGCGGCUCACUGGCCCGUUACCGACGCUCAGGCGCGACAGCGUGGGGAGCAAACAGG
rnacentral:rRNA from 1 species